UGCUUCAUCAGGGUACCCAGGCCCAGUUCUGCAGUUUCCUGAGUGCUCAGCCUCACCCUCCACAGGAUUUCUCUCUAUACACGUCAGCUGGCUGGACUGAGCAGACAUCCCUCACUCAUGUGAAAGCACAUUCCCACUCUAAACUCUUCAACAUUUGAGUGGGCAAUAAACCUGGAGAUAUAGACAAGUCCUGGAUGUGUCUACCUGGAUGUUCUAUAAACACCACACGCUCCAUGUGCAAGAUGUGCUAGACAAUGAGAGGAGCCCCAAGGUGAAGCCUUUAAAUAGUCCAAAAGGAAAAAAAAAAACACCACUCUUCCCACGAGUCUCUGCUUGCUCUCAUGGUGGAAUUUUGCUUGCUCCUCCUGACAUUUCUGAUCUCAUGUUUUCAUCCCACUGAAGAGACUU